CCUACGGGAGGCAGCAGUGAGGAAUAUUGGUCAAUGGGCGUAAGCCUGAACCAGCCAAGUCGCGUGAGGGAUGAAGGUUCUAUGGAUCGUAAACCUCUUUUAUAAGGGAAUAAAGUGUGGGACGUGUCCUGUUUUGUAUGUACCUUAUGAAUAAGGAUCGGCUAACUCCGUGCCAGCAGCCGCGGUAAUACGGAGGAUCCGAGCGUUAUCCGGAUUUAUUGGGUUUAAAGGGUGCGUAGGCGGCCUUUUAAGUAAGCGGUGAAAGUCUGUGGCUCAACCAUAGAAUUGCCGUUGAAACUGGGAGGCUUGAGUAUGUUUGAGGCAGGGGGAAUGCGUGGUGUAGCGGUGAAAUGCUUAGAUAUCACGCAGAACCCCGAUUGCGAAGGCAGCCUGCCAAGCCAUGACUGACGCUGAUGCACGAAAGCGUGGGGAUCAAACAGGAUUAGAUACCCCGGUAGUC
rnacentral:rRNA from 1 species